UGGGGAAUUUUGCACAAUGGGGGAAACCCUGAUGCAGCGACGCCGCGUGAUUUAGAAGGCCUUCGGGUUGUAAAAAUCUUUUCUAUGGGAAGAAAAUGACAGUACCAUAGGAAUAAGGACCGGCUAAUUACGUGCCAGCAGCCGCGGUAAUACGUAAGGUCCGAGCGUUGUCCGGAAUCAUUGGGCGUAAAGGGUACGUAGGCGGGUAAGCAAGUUAGAAGUGAAAUCCUGUAGCUCAACUACAGUAAGCUUUUAAAACUGCUCAUCUUGAGAUAUGGAAGGGAAAGUGGAAUUCCUAAUGUAGCGGUGAAAUGCGCAGAUAUUAGGAGGAAUACCGGUGGCGAAGGCGACUUUCUGGCCAUAAUCUGACGCUGAGGUACGAAAGCGUGGGUAGCAAACAGG
rnacentral:rRNA from 1 species